UCUUUUCUUUGUCGUGGCGACCGGCGCACGGGUGAGUAACACGUAUCCAACCUCCCCUUUACGUCGGGAUAGCUUUCGAAAGAAAGAUUAAUACCCGAUAGUAUAAUGAUUCCGCAUGGUUUCAUUAUUAAAGGAUUCCGGUAAAGGAUGGGGAUGCGUUCCAUUAGGUUGUUGGUGAGGUAACGGCUCACCAAGCCUUCGAUGGAUAGGGGUUCUGAGAGGAAGGUCCCCCACAUUGGAACUGAGACACGGUCCAA
rnacentral:rRNA from 1 species